rnacentral:rRNA from 1 species
AGUGAACGCUGGCGGUAGGCCUAACACAUGCAAGUCGAACGGCAGCACAGUAAGAGCUUGCUCUUACGGGUGGCGAGUGGCGGACGGGUGAGGAAUACAUCGGAAUCUACUUUUUCGUGGGGGAUAACGUAGGGAAACUUACGCUAAUACCGCAUACGAUCUACGGGUGAAAGCAGGGGAUCUUCGGACCUUGCGCGAUUGAAUGAGCCGAUGUCGGAUUAGCUAGUUGGCGGGGUAAAGGCCCACCAAGGCGACGAUCCGUAGCUGGUCUGAGAGGAUGAUCAGCCACACUGGAACUGAGACACGGUCCAGACUCCUACGGGAGGCAGCAGUGGGGAAUAUUGGACAAUGGGCGCAAGCCUGAUCCAGCCAUACCGCGUGGGUGAAGAAGGCCUUCGGGUUGUAAAGCCCUUUUGUUGGGAAAGAAAAGCAGCAGGUUAAUACCCCGCUGUUCUGACGGUACCCAAAGAAUAAGCACCGGCCAACUUCGUG